rnacentral:rRNA from 1 species
UACAGAGGGUGCAAGCGUUAAUCGGAAUUACUGGGCGUAAAGCGUGCGUAGACGGUAGCGUAAGUCGGGUGUGAAAGCCCCGGGCUCAACCUGGGAAUUGCAUUCGAGACUGCUCUGCUAGGGUGCGGAAGAGGGAAGCGGAAUUUCAGGUGUAGCGGUGAAAUGCGUAGAUAUCUGAAGGAACACCAGUGGCGAAAGCGGCUUCCUGGUCCAGCACCGACGUUCAGGCACGAAAGCGUGGGGAG